UAUGGCGUCAGGAUGAACGCUAGCUACAGGCUUAACACAUGCAAGUCGAGGGGGCAGCAUUGGGAUAGCUUGCUAGUUCAGAUGGCGACCGGCGCACGGGUGAGUAACGCGUAUCCAACCUUCCUGCCAGUAGGGAACAGCCCGGCGAAAGUCGGAUUAAUGCCCUAUGUCUUCAAUGCGGACAUCUAAGUUGAAGGAAAGAUUCAUCGCUGGCAGAUGGGGAUGCGUCCGAUUAGCUUGCCGGCGGGGUAACGGCCCACCGGGGCGACGAGUCGGUAGGGGUUCUGAGAGGAAGGUCCCCCACACUGGUACUGAGACACGGACCAGACUCCUACGGGAGGCAGCAGUGAGGAAUAUUGGUCAAUGGGCGUAAGCCUGAACCAGCCAAGUAGCGUGCGAAGGAUGACGGCCCUACGGGUUGUAAACUGCUUUUAUGCGGGGAUAAAGUGCGGCACGUGUGCCGCUUUGCAGGUACCGCAUGAAUAAGGACCGGCUAAUUCCGUGCCAGCCGCAGC
rnacentral:rRNA from 1 species